ensembl:lncRNA
CUUCAGUGUUCAAACCAGAGAGCCUGCAGGGCAUAGUGCUGCUGCCGUGCAAUUGUGACAGAUGCUGCUUUGUUAUCCUUUAGCAGUGCUAUCCAGUGCCACCCACGCUUCAGGUGCUAGAGGAGUAUUUGAUGACCACGACCUUAUCCUUUUCUGCUGCUUCUCUGUUGCUGCCCAUGCACAUCCCCUGAUGCACAGCAUGUAUCCCUUCAUCUUGAUCAUCACUGGAAAAGGCGAGAGUGUACAAAGUUAAACAGCAAAAAUAUAGCUGACGCUUGUCUUCUUUCUCUCUCCACAAACACAGACACGAAUUCUCUCUAGUUUCUCCAGGGGGUGAUAACAGCAAGGCUCCUUCCCUCUGGAAACAUAUACAAUUUUGCUGGAGUAAUAAAAACACCAAAGAGGAGAACCAGCAGCAGACACAGGACUGGUUUGAUUUUAUUUUCUCACCUCUGUGGAGAGCGAAGCAGUAAAAUCUUUCAAGAGGCCUGCGUCUGGGUAUCCCGCUGCUGCCUUCAGCCCCAUCUCCUGAGCAGUAGGAGUGGUGGCUUCACAGCCUUUUCAAGUUAUUCAGAAUCAGUUUCCAGUGUGCAAAUGUUAUCUAGAAGCAUGAAGACAGCUCUGGGAAAAGAAACAGCUUUGCAUCAACAUGAGACACAGCUCAUAUUCUCUUUUACAUGAGGAUGUAACUAGCUCUGUUUUACCUGACGUGAAUGUAAAUUGAUUUUCCUCCUCGUUCCCAUGAUGAAUUAUCUUCCUCAAGCUGUGCUACUGAGUGGUCAGAAAACACAGAAAGAAUGUGUCAGGAGCUUGAAGAAGAAGCAAAACAAUGGCCAUGUGAACAGAACAUGUGGAAAAAUCAGAACACAAGAAGGAGAAAAGGAGCCAUGAUGUUAAAGCUCUGUGAUGAAGUGGGAAUUAAGCAGCAUGCCAUCCUGCCACCACUCCCUCACCAUUGACCGGUGUUUCGCAUGUUUCUGCAGGAAACAGAUGCUUGGACACGUAUCAAAUCUCGCAAAAGCCACCAGCCAGAAAUGUGAUUGCAGAAGAACGGUCAGCAGUUAUGUCGAUUUUUUUUCCAAUCUGUUUUUAAAAGCAAAACUGAAAUAACUUUAACUGUAGAGAAGCGAAUCACACACAUCUCUUGUGGUAUCCUUUUUAAGUUUUGUAAUAAUCUUCUCUUCUCCCCUUCAUCUCAUCUAGUAAUUUUGAUCCCUUUUUGUUUCUUCUCUGGAUGUUUACAAACAAGUUUCUUAACAUGAAACAUCAAAGGUUUAUGCUUCUCUCUUUUCUAGAAUAAAUUUUCUCCCUACACAGCUGAAAAAAUUGACCAGAAAUUACCACCAAAUUAACUUACAAAUUAAGUUAUUUUUGACUCAGCACUUCUCAUUUAAUGUGACAUACAUAAUUCUCUUCUUAAUAUGAUUUCCUUAGUAUUUAUUUUUGGAAUGUUGUUUCUCAACAAGUUAAAAAAUAGGAUUGCUUAUGUCU